GGAUGUGAGGGCGAUCUGGCUGCGACAUCUGUCACCCCAUUGAUCGCCAGGGUUGAUUCGGCUGAUCUGGCUGGCUAGGCGGGUGUCCCCUUCCUCCCUCACCGCUCCAUGUGCGUCCCUCCCGAAGCUGCGCGCUCGGUGGAAGAGGACGACCAUCCCAGAUAGAAGGAGUGUACAGUUCUUCGGUCAAGGGUAUACGAUAGCUGCGCUCCCCUGCUAGAACCUCCAAACAAGAAUCUGGGCAAUGGGGAGCUGAAUUUUGCAGAGAAACUUGGGUCAUUAUUUCUGCCUUC